AAAGCCUGGCUCAGUGACUCGUGGUGAAACUUGUCCCCGAGCCAGAUUUCCCACACCUGAUGUUCCUCUGCAGCAGCAGAAACCGGUGUAUUUCAGUUCACAACACAGCCCCAGGGGCAGCGCUGGGGGUGAGGGGACGGAGGGGGAGGAUGGGACCCACAUCUCCUUCUGCUCUCCCAGAACAAGUCAGGCAAGUUUGGGUGCUGAGUGGCUGGGUCCCAGAGCUGGAAAGGGCACGGUGUCACCCUGGGAAUGGGCAUCACGUGGUACCGCAGCCAAGGGAACCUGUCUCAGGGAUACGUUGAAACAUACCCUGCUCUCUUGUGCAAUAGGUCUUUGCAAGUACAAUGCUGUAUUUAUACGGUGGGAACGGAGAGCCCAGGGCUGGACUCAGCAGAUGCGUGAGUAAGCAGCUUCCAGGAGUCCCAGGUGCCGGCUGGGCCAGCCCUGUGAUUCCUCCUCGGGGAGCAGAUGCAUGCAGAGAGCUGGGGCUUGAGCAGCAUUUCCCAGCACAGGGGGGUCAGCUUUGGAGCUGUCUGAUAAAAGAUGAGCGGUUUCUUUGUGUAUAAACACUCUGUCACCUGGAUGCACCAAAGCUUGGCUCUGAGAGAGGCAACAAUGCAAAGAGCCAAGAUCUGUAAGCAGCACAAGCAGACCAAAGACAGGUGGAAAAAGUCAAACUGGCCCCGCUUCCAAAAUGGAAAUGAUUGCUUCAAUUGUAAUCCAUUAGACAACUUGAUGAAAAAGCUAGUUAGCACCUGAGGUGCAUUUAAAAAAGGUGAUAAAGCUGUUAACACAGUCAUACCCCUCUCAGGAAAAGGGGAGGGUGCAAAGUUCUUGUGAUUGCAUUUCAGCAGGGCUCCUGGCCCUGAUUGCCCCCACAACUGGGCUCGUGUCAGCUCCUGAUCAGAAAUCAGCCUGUUCUUUCAUAGUAAGUAGGGUGUAACCUAGAGGGCUUCGAGCUCUCCUGAAGGGACCUUUGAGACUUGCCCUUCUGGCUCUGGGAAGGAGGCUGUGUUGAGUCAGAUGAAACUUGGUAUUAUUUUGGGGAUUAAUUCCUUGUCAGGGUUUAGUGGAAGCUCGGGAAAGCGUUGCCAGCUGGGAUCUUGGCACAGCUGAGCCCGUUUAGGGUGUGCUACAUACAGAGAAAGGAAAAAAAAGGCCCCAGUUUUCUUCACAUCCCUCCCAUCACUAGCACCAGAGCUCUGUUGGGGCUUCAUGUAGAAUUACAUGACGUAGUGUUUGCCUGUGCUGAAGGAGUUGUGUUGGCUACACCAGUAGGAACUCUCUGAUGAGUUACUCUGUUGGAUGCAAAAGCUUGCAGACCAGGAUCUGAGUCAGAAACCAAAGUAAGAAGGGUACUAGGAACCUCUAUUCUACAUGCACUAUUUUUGGCACUUGAUGCUGGUCGUUGUGCAAAUCAGAUUGAAUAAAGGUCUCUUCUGGUCUCAGGUCUUUCUGGGAACGUGAAUGCUGGGAAGCUGCAAAGCUGGCUCCAUUUAUCAGCAGUAAUUCCCUGUUCCCUUCCAGUUUCUGCAUUCUGUGUGCUCAUUACCUGUGCUCCACCAUGUUUGUUCUUUUUUUUUUUUUUAUCUGAGCCCCAAAUGCAGACAGAUAAGAGCCCUCCAUAGUCCUGUGUGUGAACUUCUAGGAUAGAGUUUUGAUGUUGUAGGGGCAAACUUUUCAGCAUUUCAUUAAGCACUUGCUAGUGCUUAACUACCAAAUUUAAGUGAGUUCAGUGGCAAAAUUACCCACCAGCCUAAUGACAGAGCAGCAAGCUGUUAUUAAGGCUCCAAAUGCAAGUUCCAUUUGGGCUUGUCUGAGGACCUCCAGACCAGUCCCUGGCUGAUGGCUUAAGGAGGGGCACCAGGAGCCUUGCAAACUUAUUGUUUGUCCCUUCAGCAGCCUCCAUCCUGAGCAGCUGCUGAGGGAGAGGAACAUUAACUGAGGCCACAGGAGGAUCUUGAAGGCUUUCAGUGAUUGGAGGGGGAGGGAUUUUUACCCUUGUUAAGUCCCUAACUUUACAAGGGAGAAAUGAGGCAAUUCCCCUCUUACCCUACCAUCAGUAAAAUGGAAUACCUCCUCCACUAUCUAUAAUCCAAGCUUACUUUGCUCUGACAAAAUGAUGAACGCAAAUUGCAGACAUUAAAAAAAAAAAAUUUAUUUGAACAAAUAUUUGACACAAUCACAGAGGAAGAAAGCAGCUCUCAGUACAGUUUCUUUUCCAGAAUGAAAGAAUCCCUGUUUAUACCAAGCUACUGCAGGAUAAUGUUUGCUCUCCCCAGCAUGGGGUAAGGUUGCUGUUCUUUGUACCUGUGGAUUUGCUCCGUACAAGGACAGUGCAGCAGGUCACAUCUGAAUCCUUGCUUUCACAGGUUAAAGAAAUGCAUAAAGACCCAACAGACAAACCAAAGUCAUAAUACAGCAAAGGUACCUGUACAGAUCCCUCGCUGGACCUGGACAGCAUUUUGGUUGGGGGAGUCCUGUCAACUCACAACUUGUUCUGGCACACUAGUCUGUUGAGGUCUCAAAG